UAUAAGUGUUAUUUUUUAGCUAAAAUUAUUAUAAGUUAUGAUCUUUAAAAUUAAAAAAUUUGGCGGUAUUUUAGUCUAUUCAGAGGAACCUGUUUUUUAAUCGAUAGUCCACGAUAAUUUUUACUUUAACUUUAAAUUUAUAUAUCGUCGUUAACAAAAAUUUUUGGAAAAUUAUAAUUUUUAGGAUUUUUGAUUAGAAUUGAAUUCAGAUCAAGGUGUAGUUUAUGUUAAAGUUAAAAUGGGUUACAUUAUAUUUAUAUGUAGAUUUUUUAUUUAAAAUUAAAUUUAAAAUGGAUUUGAUAGUAAAUUCUUUAUUUUUGAGAUUUGAUUGAGCUCUAAAAUAUGC
rnacentral:rRNA from 1 species